rnacentral:ncRNA from 2 species
AAUUCAUCACGAGCGGCUGAGAGACUGGCUCUUUGACGCCGCAGCAACCGGUGGGACCACCCACUAGGUGCUAAUGCCAGAGACGAUGAACG